rnacentral:rRNA from 1 species
CUAACUACGUGCCAGCAGCCGCGGUAAUACGUAGGUGGCGAGCGUUAUCCGGAAUGAUUGGGCGUAAAGGGUACGUAGGCGGCAUGAUAAGUCUGGAGUGAAAGGCUACAGCUCAACUGUAGUAUGCUCUGGAAACUGUCAAGCUAGAGUGCAGAAGAGGGCAAUGGAACUCCAUGUGUAGCGGUAAAAUGCGUAGAUAUAUGGAAGAACACCGGUGGCGAAGGCGGUUGCCUGGUCUGAAACUGACGCUGAAGUACGAAAGCGUGGGGAGCAAAUAGGAUUAGAUACCCUAGUAGUCCACGCCGUAAACGAUGAGAACUAGGUGUUGGGGGAAUAACUCAGUGCCGCAGUUAACGCAAUAAGUUCUCCGCCUGGGGAGUAUGCACGCAAGUGUGAAACUCAAAGGAAUUGACGGGGGCCCGCACAAGCGGUGGAGUAUGUGGUUUAAUUCGAAGCAACGCGAAGAACCUUACCAGGCCUUGACAUCCCUUGCAGAGAUAUAGAGAUAUAUCCGAGGUUAUCAAGGAGACAGGUGGUGCAUGGUUGUCGUCAGCUCGUGUCGUGAGAUGUUGGGUUAAGUCCCGCAACGAGCGCAACCCUUGUGAUAUGUUACCAAUAUUAAGUUAGGGACUCAUAUCAGACUGCCGGUGAUAAACCGGAGGAAGGUGGGGAUGACGUCAAAUCAUCAUGCCCCUUAUGGCCUGGGCUACACACGUACUACAAUGGCGGAUACAAAGGGCAGCGACAGUGUGAACUGAAGCGAAUCCCAUAAAGUCCGUCCCAGUUCGGAUUGGAGUCUGCAACCCGACUCCAUGAAGUUGGAAUCGCUAGUAAUCGCGAAUCAGCAUGUCGCGGUGAAUACGUUCUCGGGCCUUGUACACACCGCCCGUCAAACCAUGGGAGUCAGUAAUACCCGAAGCCGGUGGCCUAACGCAAGAGGGAGCCGUCGAAGGUAGGACCGAUGACUGGGGUUAAGUCGUAACAAGGUAUCCCUACGGGAACGUGGGGAUG